UAGGAGGAGAGAAAACACUGUCAAGGGCCGUCUGGGGUGGGGGGGAGGCGAGGCACUGCUGUUCUCCUCAGGCUUUUGGUAGCCGCUCAAAUGAUUUGUUAAUUAUUCAUUACUAUUUGUCAUAAAAUCCUGAAGCUCUGCCAAGUGGUAGCACGCGGGCAAUACUCAAGAAGGGGGACACGUCUUUUCCUAUUUUCCAGCGACUAUCGGACAUGGAGGGACUUUGAAAACACACACAGGACCCCGGGCGCCGGCCCUGGAACGUGCAGAUGGAAGGUCUAGGAACGAGGUCUCGGUGGCACCAUCGUCUGGGGCCCUGCGUGUUGCAUUCUCCAUCCAGACUCCCUGCUCCAUUUGCUGCCGAGAUCACAAGGCCGGAGGAAAAAGCCUUGGGGGUGGGGGCUUCCAGAAUGAAAACAAAAUCCCAGGCACAGUCCGUGCUGAGACUCUCCUAUUUCAGAGCCUCCCCUCCAACUCCCCGCAGGGGUGGACACAGUCCAACCAGCGAGGGGCCCCCCUUUCUUUUCUCUUCUCUCCCACCCCUCCUCUGCCCCCCAAGGCCCCUUUUGUGAUGCCUCCUCCCUCUUUAUUUCCCCGAUAUGCUCUCCUUUGAUGUGCAUUUUAACCAGAUGAAACUAUGUGGGUUAUGGCUGGGGAGCUGGGGCUGAAGUGACAGGAGCCCCGGACCAUGCAAACCCCCCAGGAUGGCCUUGCUUGGAGCCCCACAGAAAGGAGACCCGCAAGGCUUAACUCCUGAAAUGGAGCCAAGGCUCUACAGUGCCGUGAAUUUCCGUGAAGUCAGAAACUCAAAUUCCAGAGACACAAAGAUUCCUCACCCCAGGGGGGCUAGAACUGAGGCCUGGCUCCUCUGAUGUGUGGGAAGGCAAUGUGGGACCCCAGUGUGCCAGGCCCAUGGAGCUGGAGAAACCACAGAGGUCCAUCCUGGUUUUUUUAGGGAUCCCCCUCAAGGAGUUCCGGGGACGUAGUAGCUCUUUUCUUGACGAGUGUUGUUUAGAAUCUAGAGUUCAUCCCUUGGCAACUCCACCCGAGCUCCGAGCACAGGGGCGCAGCACGGGUCAGCGAGGACACUACAGGCUGCCCCGAUUGGAGCAAAGGGCUGUUUCUCUACCAGAGGGAGAAGUCCCCCCACUUUCCCCUGUGACCUGCAUCCCAGCUGGGGCACUGAGACCUUGUCCUCGUUCCUGGUACAGUCAGCAUACAGUAGCUGACCAGUUCACAGACGGAUCCAAGCACGUCAGCAAGGGAGAACUUGGGACAUGAGAUGCAAUCUGCCUUAGCAGCACGUGGCAGAGACUACUCGGGAGAUGGGGUGGAGAUGUGGAGGGCGUAUGUGAAGAAGGAGCUAACGUGUGUGAGAGCUUUUUGCAGAGAUGCAUCCAGAAGGAUGGAGUGGAGGGCCAUGCGGGACUUCACCUGUUACUGUCUCUAAGAGAUUUGGCCUGCCUUCCUAUCAUUAGGGCUUGCGUUUUCCUGCCACACUUCAGGAGACCUCAUCAUUAUUUCACAUAAAUUAUCACACCAUGUGACGUGAACUAUCUUAAAUCUCGCCUGCUCUAAUCCAGAAAUUAUUAUGGUGCAGCGGUUAAGCCUCGAGUACCACCUAGAGUUUAUGUUCCACACCUUCCGCUUUCUGAUCAUGGAAUGUUGGGCAAGUUGUCUAAAGUCUCUCAACCUCAAUUUCUUCACCUGUGAAAGGGGAAUAAUAAAAAAAACUAUCUGGCAGAACUGUU